rnacentral:rRNA from 1 species
ACUUGCGAUAAGCGUAGAUGAGGCAGUAACAGCCACUUGAGUCUACGAUUUCCGAAUGGGGAAACCCACUGGCAUAAGCCAGUAUCAUUGAGUGAAUACAUAGCUCAAUGAAGCGAACCGGGAGAACUGAAACAUCUAAGUACCCCGAGGAAAAGAAAUCAACCGAGAUUCCGAAAGUAGCGGCGAGCGAAAUUGGAUUAGCCCUUAAGCUUUACAUGUGUUAGACGAACGGUCUGGAAAGUCCGACGAUACAGGGUGAUAGUCCCGUAGUUGUAGAUGCAUGUUCAGUGAAAUCGAGUAGGGCGGGACACGUGUUAUCCUGUCUGAAUAUGGGGGGACCAUCCUCCAAGGCUAAAUACUCCUGACUGACCGAUAGUGAACCAGUACCGUGAGGGAAAGGCGAAAAGAACCCCUGUGAGGGGAGUGAAAUAGAACCUGAAACCGUGUACGUACAAGCAGUAGGAGCACCUUCGUGGUGUGACUGCGUACCUUUUGUAUAAUGGGUCAGCGACUUAUAUUCAGUGGCAAGGUUAACCAUCUAGGGGAGCCGUAGGGAAACCGAGUCUUAACUGGGCGCCAUAGUCUCUGGAUAUAGACCCGAAACCGAGUGAUCUAGCCAUGGGCAGGUUGAAGGUUGAGUAACAUCAACUGGAGGACCGAACCGACUAAUGUUGAAAAAUUAGCGGAUGACUUGUGGCUAGGGGUGAAAGGCCAAUCAAACUCGGAGAUAGCUGGUUCUCCCCGAAAGCUAUUUAGGUAGCGCCUCGGACGAAUACUACUGGGGGUAGAGCACUGUUAAGGCUAGGGGGUCAUCCCGACUUACCAACCCUUUGCAAACUCCGAAUACCAGUAAGUACUAUCCGGGAGACACACGGCGGGUGCUAACGUCCGUCGUGGAGAGGGAAACAACCCAGACCGCCAGCUAAGGUCCCAAAUUACAGCUAAGUGGGAAACGAUGUGGGAAGGCUUAGACAGCUAGGAUGUUGGCUUAGAAGCAGCCAUCAUUUAAAGAAAGCGUAAUAGCUCACUAGUCGAGUCGGCCUGCGCGGAAGAUGUAACGGGGCUAAGUUGUAAACCGAAGCUGCGGCAAUGUUCUUUGAACAUUGGGUAGGGGAGCGUUCUGUAAGCCGUUGAAGGUGUGUUGUAAAGCAUGCUGGAGGUAUCAGAAGUGCGAAUGCUGACAUGAGUAACGACAAGGGGGGUGAAAAACCUCCCCGCCGGAAGACCAAGGGUUCCUGUCCAACGUUAAUCGGGGCAGGGUAAGUCGACCCCUAAGGCGAGGCCGAAAGGCGUAGUCGAUGGGAAACGGGUUAAUAUUCCCGUACUUCUUACAAUUGCGAUGGGGGGACGGAGAAGGCUAGGUGGGCCUGGCGACGGUUGUCCAGGUUCAAGUGCGUAGGCU